GACAGAGCCUGGUCAGGCGAUUCGCAAGGCCGGUCACGGCUUGAAGGAUCUCAUUGGCUGCAGCGGGAGUAGCCGAUUGUUUGUUUACUUACCGAGCUCCUGCUGUUGCUGCUGUUUGGGGAACUUCGGGCCGAAGUUAUCCUACCCUACCAUGUAUGAGAGGGGUCGUGGAUCGAGUUCCCGCCGAUGAUUCCAGUCAGUGAGGCGUCGUCUGGUUAUUUGUUACCCUGGUGAGAUGGGUUUUGUUGUUUUGCACUGCUGAGUUGGAGUUGUCCCCUCCCACAAGCAACGCCAUCCCUGCACAGACACCGGUGAGAGAGGAAGGUAAAAAUACUUUGCUUCCUACUUGGUGGUAUAGUCUCGAAGGAACCCUGCGCUCCGCAGAUGUCCCGCAACGGAGGUUGGGAAAUUUCUAGACACACGCACGCACGCUCACACUCAACGCAAUCCCGGAUAGGCUCCUCGAAGCAUCGCCACCAAAUGCUUGGAAGCGUGACUCUGUCGGCCACUCUAUGCAACGCGGGUAACUCUUCCCCAGUAUUCCGCUCACUGUACUCAACUCUCUGUUUUUUUCGCUAAUGAAAACCCCACGCAUCAAGCUCCUUUUCUUCCUUUGCAUUCUUUCUAAAUUAAGCUAAAUCUGUACCUGAUUGUCGAAUACGUCCACAACUAAAAAGCUUACGUCUCUACAGUCCAAGAUGGAGUGGAUAUUGUGGAUUUUCCUGCAGUAACUUUGCUAAAGGAGGGAAACGAUGUGUAUAUACAGACCGGCAAAAUCCAUGACGCGUUGCUGCGGCUUUGGCAUGUCUGUAAAAUGUGUGGCAUGGACUGAAGGAAGUCUGCACCGUUAAGAAUGUCAUUUUUGCAAGACUGUUCAUGAGGACUGUGACUGACUUGGAGGCCAGGUUACCAGUGGGAUAGAAGAUAAUAUCUGGUGAUUCUGGGAUGCAACCCAAACACGACAACGCUCUCCCUCAAUAUCAAAAUCAUCAAAACUGUGGGGUCCUUAUCCCCCAGGUUUGAUUCUUGCUGAUUUGCUGCUGUGAGGUCUCCAGGUACUGAAUAUCAAAAUAUAAGAAAUUCAACACUGAAGUGUUGUAUUGGCGCAUGGUUAGUUGUUGUGGUUUUUAGAAGUAUGAUGAAUGUACUAAGUUUGGACCUUGUUUUGGUAACAGUUUUAAUAUAUUUGUCUAUAGAUAAAGCGGUUUGAAUAGUUUUUUAAGCAAUAUAUUUUGCUUAGCUGUGGUAAGGAUUAGAGUUAGUUUUUAAUGUGUGAGAUAGAUAUUUUUAAGAAGCAUGAGAAAAGAGAUAAUGAAUUAGAUUCCAUCUCCCUCCGUGUAACCUUUUGCACCAAGGUUUUUGGAUUGAGCUUUGGUUUGUUUGCAGCUGUUAAUUUUUAAUUUUUAAUUUUUAAUCUAUGCAAUUCAGUAGAUUUUAAGCA